CCUACGGGGUGCAGCAGUGAGGAAUAUUGGUCAAUGGCCGGAAGGCUGAACCAGCCAUGCCGCGUGAAGGUCAGUGCCCUAUGGGCGUUAAACUUCUUUUGUGCGGGAGCAAUAAUGGUCACGUGUGGCCAGACGAGAGUACCGUACGACUAAGCAUCGGCUAACUCCGUGCCAGCAGCCGCGGUAAUACGGGGGAUGCAAGCGUUAUCCGGAUUUAUUGGGUUUAAAGGGUGCGUAGGCUGGGAGUUAAGUCAGCGGGGAAAUGCCCCCGCUCAACGGGGUGAAGUGCCAUUGAUACUGACUUGCUGGAAUGCGAAUGCCGUGGGCGGAAUGCGUGGUGUAGCGGUGAAAUGCAUAGAUAUCACACAGAACACCGAUUGCGAAGGCAUCUCACGAAUCCGCGAUUGACGCUGAUGCACGAAAGCGUGGGUAUCAAACAGGAUUAGAUACCCUGGUAGUC
rnacentral:rRNA from 1 species